GACGAACGCUGGCGGCGUGCUUAACACAUGCAAGUCGAACGGAAAGGCCCUGCUCUUGUGGGGUUCUCGAGUGGCGAACGGGUGAGUAUCACGUGAGUAACCUGUCCCUGACUUUGUGAUAACUCUAGGAAACUGGGGCGAUUAUCGGAUAGGAUCUCCUGCUCCACGGUGGUGGUAGGAGAGAGACGGUGGUUGUGGGUGGAAUCGCGGCUUAUGCGCUGCUUGGUCUGGUAGUGGCUUACCAAGGUUUCGACGGGUAGGCGGCCUGGGAGGGUGGACAGGCACAUUGGGCCUGAGGGACGGAGCAGAAUCCUACGGGCGGCAGCGGUGGGGAGUAUUGCACAAUGGGCGGAAGCCUGAUGCAGCGGCGCCGCGUGCGUGAUGACGGCCUUCGAGUUAUAAACAGCUUUCGCAUGUGACGAGGCGAGAGUGACGGUACUGAGUAAGAAAGCAACGGCUAACUACGUG
rnacentral:rRNA from 1 species